rnacentral:sRNA from 1 species
GCUGGGUAUGGUGGCGCACACCGGUAAUCCCAAUGACUGGGAGGCUGAGGCAGGAGGCUUCAAGUACAAGGCCAGCCUCAGCAACAUAGCAAGGCCCUGAGCAACUUUCCGAGACUCUGUCUCAA